GAUGAACGCUGGCGGCGUGCCUAAUACAUGCAAGUCGAGCGAACAGACGAGGAGCUUGCUCCUCUGACGUUAGCGGCGGACGGGUGAGUAACACGUGGAUAACCUACCUAUAAGACUGGGAUAACUUCGGGAAACCGGAGCUAAUACCGGAUAAUAUAUUGAACCGCAUGGUUCAAUAGUGAAAGACGGUUUUGCUGUCACUUAUAGAUGGAUCCGCGCCGCAUUAGCUAGUUGGUAAGGUAACAGCUUACCAAGGCAACGAUGCGUAGCCGACCUGAGAGGGUGAUCGGCCACACUGGAACUGAGACACGGUCCAGACUCCUACGGGAGGCAGCAGUAGGGAAUCUUCCGCAAUGGGCGAAAGCCUGACGGUGCAACGCCGCGUGAGUGAUGAAGGUCUUCGGAUCGUAAAACUCUGUUAUUAGGGAAGAACAAAUGUGUAAGUAACUAUGCACGUCUUGACGGUACCUAAUCAGAAAGCCACGGCUAACUACGUG
rnacentral:rRNA from 1 species